rnacentral:rRNA from 1 species
UACGUAGGGUGCGAGCGUUGUCCGGAAUUACUGGGCGUAAAGAGUUCGUAGGCGGUUUGUCGCGUCGUUCGUGAAAACUUGGGGCUUAACUCCAAGCGUGCGGGCGAUACGGGCAGACUUGAGUACUACAGGGGAGGCUGGAAUUCCUGGUGUAGCGGUGAAAUGCGUAGAUAUCAGGAGGAACACCGGUGGUGUAGACGGCUCUCUGGACCGUAACUGACGCUGAGGCACGAAAGCGUGGGUAGCAAACAGG